CGGACACAGAUUCUCCCACAUUACUUCUCUCCAAAGCUCUCCCUCUCCCCAGACACUGUGAAACCAGAUGCAACAGACUUGCUUUGGUCCAUUGGUCUCUUAGUCCAACCUCAGCUGUUGUUUUCAUCUUUAACCUUCGUUGCCUCACUUGUGCUCAGUUCUUAUCCAGAUAACAUAACAGAAUCAUUUCACAGAGCUGACCUGGCCUUUCUUCCCUGCGGACAUCCGAGGCCCAGGCUGCGGCCACACUGUGUGCAUCCAUGUUCUCUGUCCGCGCACGUUCCCCAGGCAGACUCUGAGUGCCUUCUGGAGACGCCCCUGAAGACUGCAUUGGAGGAGUCUUCUGCCUGGAAAGUGGAUAUGAUGUCUGGUAUCUAGCUGCCAUUUUGGACAUGAAGAUGAGGGCAACACCCUAAGGAUGGUAGAACUGUGAGCCGGAAGGUGCCUGUGUCCCUAAAGACUUCAUGAGCAAAGCCACCAUACCAGUCCUUGACUACCUACUUCUGUACUUUCACAUAAGAAAGGAAUCAAAACAAAACAAAACAAAACAAAAGAAAGGAAUAAACAACUAUCUUAUUUAA